GAUGAACGCUGGCGGCGUGCUUAACACAUGCAAGUCGAACGGACUGAGGGAGCUUGCUCCCAAAGUUAGUGGCGGACGGGUGAGUAACGCGUGGGUAACCUGCCCUAUGCAGGGGGAUAACGUUUGGAAACGAACGCUAAUACCGCAUAACAUAAAAAGUUUGCAUGAACUUUUUAUCAACGCUUUAUCGGCAUAGGAUGGACCCGCGUUGGAUUAGCUAGUUGGUGAGAUAAUAGCCCACCAAGGCAACGAUCCAUAGCCGGCCUGAGAGGGUGAACGGCCACACUGGGACUGAGACACGGCCCAGACUCCUACGGGAGGCAGCAGUGGGGAAUAUUGCACAAUGGGCGCAAGCCUGAUGCAGCGACGCCGCGUGAAGGAUGAAGGUUUUCGGAUCGUAAACUUCUAUCAGCAGGGAGGAACCAAAUGACGGUACCUGACUAAGAAGCCCCGGCUAACUACGU
rnacentral:rRNA from 1 species